GAUCCCUUAGUUAAAUUGGAUAUAACCCGGACCUCCUAAGUCUGAAUCGCCAGUUCGAACCUGGCAGGGAUCAUCA
rnacentral:tRNA from 4 species